rnacentral:rRNA from 1 species
GUAGGGGGCGAGCGUUGUCCGGAUUUAUUGGGCGUAAAGAGCUCGUAGGCGGCUCACUAAGUCGGGUGUGAAACCUCCAGGCUUAACCUGGGAGACGCCACCUGAUACUGGUGUGGCUAGAGUCCGGUAGGGGAGCGUGGUACUCCUGGUGUAGCGGUGAAAUGCGCAGAUAUCAGGAAGAACACCAGCGGCGAAGGCGGCGCUCUGGGCCGGAACUGACGCUGAGGAGCGAAAGCGUGGGUAGCAAACAGGAUUAGAUACCCUGGUAGUCCACGCCGUAAACGUUGGGCACUAGGUGUGGGUCUCAACCAACGGGAUCCGUGCCGCAGCUAACGCAUUAAGUGCCCCGCCUGGGGAGUACGGCCGCAAGGCUA